rnacentral:rRNA from 1 species
GGGUCAGUAGGUUGGUCGUGCCACCGGUACGUACUGGUCUCACUGAUUCCUCCUUCCUGAAGAACCGUAAUGCCAUUAAUUGGGUGUUGCGGGGAAACAGGACUGUUACUUUGAAAAAAUUAGAGUGUUUAAAGCAAGCUAACGCUUGAAUACAUUAGCACGGAAUAAUGAAAUAGGACGAUCGAUCCUAUUUUGUUGGUUUCUAGGAUUGACGCA